rnacentral:tRNA from 1 species
GGAGAGGUGGCAGAGUGGUCGAAUGCGCUGCACUCGAAAUGCAGUAUAGGUGCAAGCCUAUCGAGGGUUCGAAUCCCUCCCUCUCCGCCA